rnacentral:lncRNA from 1 species
GUUUUUGAAUGGAUGUGCUGUUAAGCGGAAAGGCUCGGACGUGAUAUGUUAGUCAUUCAUUUGGUCGAGUUUUUUUUCUAGGACGCUAGUUUCCAAGAAAAAGAAGCUUCUCUCUUGCGCUAAACGACAUUGCCAGUCGAAGGAUUCUAACUGUUGACUUGCGUGACCUUGUAAGUUGCCAGAAUAAUUCACUCGCAUAUCAUCGACCAUGCUGCUGAUCGGCUGAAUCACGAUUCGAAGUAUCGAAGUGGUAAUCCCAGUGAAUUAUUUCGUGCCUCGUAUUUUGAAAUGUACGCGGUGGACCGCGUGCGCGAUCGUCAAAUAACCAUUUGAAUAAAUCAUUGACAUUA